GGAUGCAGAACUCAAUUGGUAGAGUGUCUCUCUUUUAAAGAGAACAUUUCUGGUUCAAGUCCAGAUCCCCUUG